AUUGAACGCUGGCGGCAGGCCUAACACAUGCAAGUCGAGCGGAUGAAGGGAGCUUGCUCCUGGAUUCAGCGGCGGACGGGUGAGUAAUGCCUAGGAAUCUGCCUGGUAGUGGGGGAUAACGUCCGGAAACGGGCGCUAAUACCGCAUACGUCCUGAGGGAGAAAGUGGGGGAUCUUCGGACCUCACGCUAUCAGAUGAGCCUAGGUCGGAUUAGCUAGUUGGUGGGGUAAAGGCCUACCAAGGCGACGAUCCGUAACUGGUCUGAGAGGAUGAUCAGUCACACUGGAACUGAGACACGGUCCAGACUCCUACGGGAGGCAGCAGUGGGGAAUAUUGGACAAUGGGCGAAAGCCUGAUCCAGCCAUGCCGCGUGUGUGAAGAAGGUCUUCGGAUUGUAAAGCACCUUAAGUUGGGAGGAAGGGCAGUAAGUUAAUACCUCGCUGUUUUGACGUUACCAACAGAAUAAGCACCGGCUAACUUCGUG
rnacentral:rRNA from 1 species